rnacentral:lncRNA from 1 species
AUCGAGAGAUCCUCACUGAUCAUCUAGACAACGCCAUGGCUCGAUAAUCCUAUUGACGAAGACGAGGAGGUCUGGGAGGGCCAUCAAAGCUUCUACGGCGCACAAAAGCCCGGUUCCUGACGGGUUCGCCGAUGCUUGCGAUUUGCCAAGGACAAUGUCAUUGUUUUCUUCAAGCAUGUUCACGACCUUGCAAUUUUGUGCCAAGGACUAUAGGCCAAUAAAUCUUAUCGACUCGCUCGCAAAGCUUCUAUACAAGGUCUUGACUUUGCAACUGCGCCCAAUCCUAGAUGCAGAGGUCAAUUUGGACAUAAUUUUUUACGAAUCUAGCAUCUUUAUUCUAUAGAAAUCAUUAGGGUUAAAAUCUUGUUAAAAAAUCUCUAAAAAUCCAAACCAAAUGAGCGCUAAGGGCAUCUUCAACAAGGUACCAGUACUAAAAAAUUUCUCUUCUUUUUCCAAUGUGUUUCAUUUUUUCUUAUUCAUUUCUUUUUUUAUAGACCAACAUGUCAUCUUCUUUGUUGUCUUGGUAUCCGUGUAGUACCUGUUACUUCUUCAAAUAACCAUUACUUGGUUGUGGCAUUCCUCUCUCAUCCACAUUGGUCACUAAUUUUUUGGUACCCGUGUAGUACCCCUCGUUGAGGAUGCCCUAAUAGUUUUUGGACAAGCUAGCUCUGUCAGUGUGGUCAAGAUAUGUUUUGAGAAAAUCGACAAGGGAGGACAUGAUGCUCUUGUUGUGUUGGGCCCUAAUUUGGGCUGAAUCCACGGUCUUGCAACCAGGUCUAAACCAUGACAAAAAUUAUUGAACGGAGGGUCUAUAUAAUAAUAUCUAUAAUACAAAAUAAAUAUAUAUCAUUAUGACUUUAAAAUUAUAAAACUUUCUAGAAUUUAAUUAAAUUUUAAUUUUUUUGAACUUAGAACAUAACCCGAUGAUAUUAUAAAUCUUAUAAACACACAAGGUGACGAGUAGAAAAAUAGAACAACGGGUCAA